AUUGAACGCUGGCGGCAGGCCUAACACAUGCAAGUCGGGCGAGCGGCAGACGGGUGAGUAAUGUAUGGGGAUCUGCCUGAUGGAGGGGGAUAACUACUGGAAACGGUAGCUAAUACCGCAUACCAUCAGAUGAACCCAUAUGGGAUUAGCUUGUAGGUAAGGUAACGGCUUACCUAGGCGACGAUCCCUAGCUGGUCUGAGAGGAUGAUCAGCAACACUGGGACUGGGACACGGAAAAGACUCCUACGGGAGUCAGCGGUGGGGAAUAUUGCACAAUGGGCGCAAGCCUGAUGAAGCAAUGCCGCGGGGAUGAAGAGGGCCUUCGGGUUGUAAAGUACUUUCAGUCGGGAGGCGUUACCGACAGAAGAAGCACCGGCUAACUCCGUGCCAGCAGCCGCGGUAAUAC
rnacentral:rRNA from 1 species